rnacentral:rRNA from 1 species
CCUACGGGUGGCAGCAGUAGGGAAUCUUUCACAAUGGGCGAAAGCCUGAUCCAGCAACGCCGCGUGCAGGAUGAAGGCCCUCGGGUUGCAAACUGCUUUUAUAAGCGAGAAAUAUGAUGGUAACUUAUGAAUAAGGAGCGGCUAACUACGUGCCAGCAGCCGCGAUCAUACGUAGGAUCCGACCAUUAUCCGGAGUAACUGGGUGUAAAGAGGUGCGUAGGUGGCGUAAUGAGUAGCGAGUGAAAUCUGGUGGCUCAACUAUUCAGACGAGUAGCUAAACUGGUAAGCUCGAGACCGUUAGAGGUAACUGGAAUGCCUGGUGUAGGAGUGAAAUGCGUAGAUAUU